rnacentral:tRNA from 1 species
GUGCCUGUAGCUCAAUGGAGAGAGCGUCAGACUACGGAUCUGAAGGUUGAGAGUUCGAGUCUUUCCAGGCAUG